GAUGAACGCUAGCGAUAGGCUUAACACAUGCAAGUCGAGGGGCAGCGAGGGUAGCAAUACCUGUCGGCGACCGGCGCACGGGUGAGUAACGCGUAUGUAACCCGCCCGCAACAGGGGGAUAACCCGGCGAAAGUCGGACUAAUACCGCAUAAAACAGGGGUCCCGGCUGGGAAUAUUUGUUAAAGAUUUAUCGGUUGCGGAUGGGCAUGCGUACCAUUAGGUAGUUGGUGAGGUAACGGCUCACCAAGCCUUCGAUGGUUAGGGGUUCUGAGAGGAAGGUCCCCCACACUGGUACUGGGACACGGACCAGACUGCUACGGGAGGCAGCAGUGCGGAAUAUUGGUGAAUGGGCGAGAGCCUGAACCAGCCAAGUCGGGUGAAGGAUGCCUGCCCUAUGGGUUGUAAACUUCUUUUACAAGGGAAUAAUAUGAGAUACGUGUAUUUUAUUGCAUGUACCUUGGGAAUAAGCAUCGGCUAACUCCGUG
rnacentral:rRNA from 1 species